UGAAUUUGGAGCCUAUUUUGUUCUUUAUUAUAUUUUGACAAUAACAUCUCAAAAUGUUUAUAACAAUAUUUGUUUUCCUCUCUUUGAUUACAGAAGCUGUUCUGGGGGUGACACUGGAGCAAAAGUAUCUCUCCGUGACAAAAGGGAAGGAAAAAACUGUGGAGAUCUCCUGCAGUGUUAAAGGAUUAUCCACAGAUUAUGUCCACUGGUACCAUAAGAAAGACGGUGAAGAAGUUCUCAAACGGAUCCUUUAUGUCAAAAAAGGCAGCCAACCUGUUCAUGAUAAUAACUAUUCUGGAGCAGAAAAGUUUACAGUGAAAAUAAAGGAUGAUGAUUAUAAUCUGAAUAUACAAAAGCUUGAAGAAAGUCACUCAGGGGUUUAUUACUGCGCCAGCUGGGAAAGCACCCACAGUGACAGUAAAUAUUUACAGUAUGUACAAAAACCCUAA